rnacentral:rRNA from 1 species
AUGAGAGUACCGCAGAUGACAAGGGUCAUCCAUGACUCGGGAGAAGGCAUGCAGAAAGAUGCACUUGACAUGGUAUCCUCUGAUGUUAACUUCCCCAAGGGCCACUUUCCAGACUACAGGAUUGGGCCAAACAACCAAAUCAUUGACCCAGAGGAGACGCACGAGGUUGUGCCUUUGAAGGAGAUUGUUGCGAAAGAAACAACACAACUGCUAGAGCAGCGAAAGCGGCUGUCAGUGCGUGAUCUCAGGGAGAAGUUUGAGAAGGGUCUGUCUGGUGCCUCCAAGUUGUCUGAAGAGGCUAAGCGGCGUGAAGCAGCUUCCCUGGACAGGCAGGUUCUUCUGAAGAAGCUCAGAGAUGUUCUAGACACGCUGAAAGGCCGUGUGGCUGGUCGAAACAGAGAUGAUGCUGAUGAAGCUAUCUCGCUGGUGGAAGCACUAGCAGUUCAACUUACUCAAAGAGAAGGUGAAUUAAUUUAUGAGAAGGCUGAAGUAAAAAAGUUGGCUAGCUUCCUCAAGCAGGCUACUGAAGAUGCCCGAAAGGUAGCUGAAGAGGAAAGAGCUCUUGCACUCGCUGAAAUUGAAAAAUCUAGAGCUGCAAUAGAAAAAGUUGAGAAAGCGUUGCAGGAGCAGGAUUCAGCAUCAAGUAGCAGAGAGAAGGAGGAGAUAGAGGAACUUAGGAAAGAGAUUCGAGAGGCUAGACGAAUAAAAAUGCUACACCAGCCAAGCAAGGUAAUGGACAUGCAGUUUGAGCUUCAGGGACUGCGUACACUUAUAUCAGAAAAAACACAGCUUUGCAAUCAGUUAAAGAAAGAGCUUGCCAUGAUCAAGAGGCUUGAACAAGAUAGCUCUAAACUCUUUGAGCUUGAAGGUUCUGAUACUCUUGGAUCACAGUUCCGUAUUGUCCCUCGAGUUGAUGGUGCUCCAGACAUCUCAAGCUGUCCAGCUCAGUGGUACCGUGUAAUUUCCGGAGGCCACAGAGAGCUCGUAUCGGGUGCAACGAGACUUACUUAUGCUCCAGAGCCAUUUGAUGUUGGCCAAUUGUUGCAAGCAGAGAUAAUUUUGAAAGCAGAUAAAGUUACGGUUCAGACAGAUGGCCCUAUAAAUCAUGCUUCAGGACUGGAACAUUAUGUGGAAUCGCUAAUGAAAAGGGCGGAUAUUGAGUUCAAUGUGGUAGUAACCCAAAUGAAUGGGAAUGACUACGCAUCAAAAUCUGUCCAUGUAUUUCAUAUUGGAAAGCUGAGAGUGAAGCUUCGGAAAGGAAGGUCUACAAAAGCAAGGGAGUCAUAUUCCACCACAAUGAAGUUGUGUGGAAGCCGAGGUGGUGGUAAUGCUGCGGCCUGUGCAGUCUUCUGGCAAACUAGGAAAGGCCUAUCCUACACUCUAGCUUUCGAGACGGACAGGGAUAGGAAUGCCGCGAUUAUGCUUGCUCGGAAAUUUGCUUCCAGUUGCAACGUUGUUCUUGCUGGACCAGGCGAUCAAGUCCACGGUGGUGGCUGA